rnacentral:rRNA from 1 species
UACGUAGGGUGCAAGCGUUGUCCGGAAUUAUUGGGCGUAAAGAGCUCGUAGGUGGCCUGUCGCGUCGGCUGUGAAAACUCGGGGCUCAACUCCGAGCUUGCAGUCGAUACGGGCAGGCUAGAGUUCGGCAGGGGAGACUGGAAUUCCUGGUGUAGCGGUGAAAUGCGCAGAUAUCAGGAGGAACACCGGUGGCGAAGGCGGGUCUCUGGGCCGAUACUGACACUGAGGCACGAAGGCCAGGGGGAGCAAACGGG